rnacentral:lncRNA from 1 species
CCUGCCGGGAAUUCCGGGGGUGGAGCCUCUCCUGGGCGAGAUUUUUGGGAUGGUUGUGCCCCUUGUGUCCCUUUCCUGGGGAUUUUUGGGAUGGCUGAGCAUCCCUGGGGAUUUUUGGGAUGGCUGAGCCCCCCUCGUGUCCCUUCCUGGAGAUUUUUGGGAUGGCUGAGCCUCUUUGUGUCCCUUCCCUGGGGAUUUUUGGGAUGGCUGAGCACCCCUGGGGAUUUUUGGGAUGGUUUAAUCUCCCUGUGUCUCUCCUUGGGUUUUUUUGGGAUUGCUGAGCCCCUUGUCACUUCCUGGGGAUUUUUGGGAUGGCUGAACUCCUGUGUCCCUUCCUGGGGAUUUUUUUGGGGAUUGAUGAGCCCCCUGUCCCUUCCCUGGGAAUUUUUGGGAUGGCUGAGCUCCCCUGAGGGAUUUUUGGGAUGGCUGAGCCCCCCUUGUGUCCCAUCCCUGGGGAUUUUUGGGAUGGCUGAGCUCCCAUAGGAGUUUUUGGGAUGGUUGUGCCUCCUUGUCCCAUCCCUGGGGAUUUUUGGGAUGGCUGAGCAUCCAUGGGGAUUUUUGGGAUGGUUGAGUCUCCCUGUGUCCCUUCCAGGGGAUUUUUGGGAUGGCUGAGCCCGCUCUCCCUUCCCUGGGGAUUUUUGGGGUGGCUGAGCUCUCAUAGGAGUUUUUGGGAUGGCUGAGCAUCCAUGGGAUUUUUUGGGAUGGCUGAGCAUCCCUGGGGAUUUUUAGGAUGGCUGAGCCCCCCUUGUUCCAUCCAACUGGAUUUUUGGGAUGGCUGAGCACCCCUGGGGGAUUUUUGGGAUGGUUGAAUCUCCCUGUGUCUCUCCCUGGGGUUUUUUUGGGAUUGCUGAGCCCCCUGUCCCUUCCCUGGGGAUUUUUGGGAUGGCUGAGCUCCCAUAGGAGUUUUUGGGAUGGUUGUGCCUUCAUGUUCCAUCCCUGGGGAUUUUUGGGAUGGCUGAGCCCCCUUGUGUCCUCUCCUGGGUUUUUUUUGGGAUGGUUGUGCCCCCUUGUCCAUUCCCUGGGGAUUUUUGGGAUGGCUGAGCAUCCCUGGGGAUUUUUGGGAUGGCUGAGCCUCCAUAUGUCCCUUUCCUGGGGAUUUUUGGGAUGGCUGAGCCCCCUUGUGUCCCCUCCUGGGGAUUUUUGGGAUGACUGAGCACCCCUGGGGGAUUUUUGGGAUGGUUGAAUCUCCCUGUGUCUGUCCCUGGGUUUUUUUGGGAUGGCUGAGCCCCCUGUGUCUGUCCCUGGGGAUUUUUGGGAUAGUUGAGCUCCCAUGGGGGAUUUUUGGGAUGGCUUAGCCCCCUUGUCCCUUCCCUGUUUUUUUGGGGGAUGACUGAGCCCCCUUGUCCCUUCCCUGUUUUUUUUGGGGAUGGCUGAGCCCCCUUGUGUCCCAUCCCUGGGGAUUUUUGGGAUGGCUGAGCAUCCCUGAGGGAUUUUUGGGAUG